CACCGGUAUAAAGUAACCUCGGACAAUCGAAAAUCUCUAUAUUAGGUAUAUGGGGGCUAAUGUAAUCGUAGGCCGGAUUUUACCCUGUUUGGAUUCAAGAACAUUCUAUCAUCUUGAAAAGAUUCUCUCUGAAUUUCAAUAAUACAGUUCAGGGUUUUACUGAUAUUAGAUCUACAAGUUUGCAGUGCCGGAUUAAACUAGCGCGGGGCCUGUAGCAAAUUCUGUCAAGGGGCCCUUAACUUACUAUAGGUUCUCAAGUUUAGGGUACUACAUAAAACAAAACUGUUACAAAUAAACUUUUCUGGAUUUAUUAUAGGCAAAUUUAGAGAUAAUACUUUCAAUAUCGACUUCUUUAAGCAAGUCAUGCUCUAUAUUCAACAAAGUGAGAUGAUUAAGACGUUUUUUGCCCAUCGUGUUCCUUAAUUCAUUUUUAAUACGUUUUAAUGUUGAAAAAGAACGUUCGCCACUACAGUAAGUGAUCAUGAGAGAUAAGUAAAUUCGCAAAGCAAUUUCUAAGUUUGGGACACUCGAUUCUAAAGAAUUAUUUAAUAAAAGUUUAUAAUGUUGUUGUUCCAGAUACUCCUCGCUAACAGUAGCCACAUCUGUUUUCAGCAGCUCUGCGAACCGCACUAAUUCGCCGCCUAGGCUGUUCUCCAAAUCAUCUUAGUAAGCACUGGCCAUACUAGAGAAGUUUUGCAAAAUCUAUUCUGUUGUAAGAGAUUUUAGCUGUCAAAAUACUUCAAAAACACUAGCAAUUUUGUGAUAUGCUUUCAUAUGUUUAGUUAAAGCAGACAGUACGUUAUCAAUAAUGACAAUAAACACCUUAAAUUCGUAACGUUGUCCAGGUGUUUGAUUUUCAACAAAGACGUCGAGUGUAGUAGAGCCGCUGAAAUGGUCGUACUUUGUAUUUCGCUUGAUUCGCCGUCUGUUACUGGUAUUCUUCACAGUAGGUCAGAUCUUUGGCUCUUUCCUCGUUAUCUGAAAAAAUGGAUCGCAUUGCUUGGACGUAGCCAUAUAAUAAUUCAUAAAGGGCGCAUCCCGUAUUAAGGUCUUGAUCAGACGACUGCAGCGAAGCACUAGUCGCCAAGCGUUCUAGGAUUUCGUUCCACGUAAUUAUCAUUAUUCCCGUUUUAAACUUAUUCAUCGUUGAAAGUAGUCCGUAAACUUUAUUAAGGCACUCCGCUUAUUGAUCCACGUUAUUGAAAAUGUCUUCCAAUACUUGCUUAUUUAAUAGUGAUAAAACCACAUAAAAGUACCUUCGCAGCAUCAGCUCUGGCUGACCACCUAGUGUCCGAUAACCGUUUCAAAAUCGGAAUUUUUGAAGUAGAAUCUUUAAGUGGAAGUUUUCAAUGAAAUCGAAGAAAAGUAAUGCUUCUGUACAGCAGUCUGCAGCGCACUUAGCAACCAAAUUUAAUGAAUGUGCAAGACAGGGAAUGUAUUCUGCAUACUUAUUUAUUUUCUUAAUUCGGGCUUGUAAGCUGAUGUAUUUCCCACUCAUGUUGCUGGCAUUAUAAUAGCUUUGCCCACGACAAUCCUUGAUAUUAAUGCCACUCUCACUCAAGAAAUCUAGUAAACUUUGAGCGAGUUGUUCAGCAGUAUGACCCUCCAUGUCCAAGAACUUAACAAAUCUUUCCACUGGUCCAGAUGGGAGAACAUGACUUGGGACUCUGAAACACCUUGCGCUUAAUGCUGGCCUGAACUAAAAAUUUUUGCCCUGUUAAGAUGUCAGCGUUAUGAUAUAAAAUAAUGUUUUUUUUGCAAUAUGGAAGGUCAAAAGAAUAUCGUUAAACCAUAAUUUUCAAUAAAAAUAUUGUAAACAUUUAAUAAUUAUGCUUAAGUAAUUUCUUUUGACGGCCAUGAAGCGUACAAAAUCUAGAGAUAUUCGAUAAUGAUUUUCUUUUUAUUUUAUUUUAUGAUAGCGGUAUUCGGCAGAAAUUUAUCUUUAUUUUGAUAUAAAAAUUAAAAUAUGUUGUUCCUUAGAUUUUGUAGGAAAUUGAAUGCCCUAAAAAAAGGUCUCGUAUGAUAUUUUCGUAAAUCCAACCGUUUAAAAGAUAUUAAUAGUUAAAGUUUGAUUAUUUUUGGGAAAAUUUUUUAUUUCUUAUGGAUUUUAUAACUCAAUGAAAAAAAUCAUUAUGAGUGAUGAAACUCAUAGGUUUUUGGAGUGGCUUUCUUAGAGGUGUCGGGGUAGGAACCUAUUUUUCCGAGUACCAAUCGAAAAAAAAAAUAUUUUUUUUGAAUCACCCUAAUAUAUGCAUAUAUAUAUAUAUAUAUAUUCCUAUCAUAAAUUGACUAAUACAACUCUGAUUUCAAUACAUAAUAAUAUAGAAAUUUCAAAGAGCAUUUUCCUUUAUUUUCAAGGUAUACAUAUACAUAUGUACACUGGUCAAAGAAAGUAUUCGACAUAUGUAUGUAUUUUUUUAUUUAUUUAUGAAAUAUGUAUUUCUUAAUAUAAACACAUAAAGAACCAAAAAACAGUGUUUUUUAAAGCAAACGUUUAUAUAGUCUGUAAGUUGAUGAGGUUUGUGAUAAUCACAACAACAAAAUUAAACAAAAACGCACCAAAACUAAAUUAUCCUGAAAAUUAAAGCAAAAAAAAAAAUUCGACAAUUACGCAGAAGAGCGAAUUCCAAUGAUUAACGGUGAAAGUUACGAUCGGUUUGAAUAUUUUCUUUAACAUUGUUAUGCAGAAUUCAAUUUAGAAGCGAUAUUUAAAUUAAAUAAGUGAAAUGUUAAACAUGCGUUGCAAAAAAAAAAGAGACUGAAGAAAUCAAAAAUCUGAUCGUUAUACAUUUAAAAGUGGAUUAACCGAAACUAAAAUAGCCGAACUAGUUGAUAGGCCGCGAACAACUGUCCAUUAUAUUAUAAAAAAAUGGAAAGAUAAAAAGUCGGCUGAAAAUCAUCCAAGGUGUGGUCGCCCAAAAGCCUUAACUAAAGCAGACGAAUGUUGGUUGAUUCACCAGGUCAAAAAAGAACCAAAAACAUAUGGCACGGUUCUCUCCAAAACUGUUCAAGAAAACCUAAAUAUAGAUGUGAUACCCCAAACCAUUCGAAAUUAUUUGAAAAUCACUGACUACAGGGAAAGAGUUGCGCGCAAAAAGCCAUAUAUCUCUAAAAAAAAUAGAUUGCAAAGACUAAGGUUUGCAAAAACGUACAUAAACAAGCCCGCUGAGUUUCGGAAUAAGGUGAUAUUUGCAGAUGAGAGCAUAUUCAAUCUUUUUGGAUGUAAUGGUAAAGUAAUUGUGUACAGGAAAACUUACGAACUAGUGCGGAAUCGGAGCGACUUUUCAGUUUUACCAAGAUAACGACCCAAAGCAUUCCGCACUAAAUACAAAGCUUUGGCUUUUAUAUAAAUUUCCUGGAGUAAUUAUAACUCCUGCUCAAAGUCCAGAUUUAAAUCCCAUAGAGCAUCUAUGGGAUCAUUUAGAAAGAAGGCUGAGACAGCGCCAUUUUACGAACAAACCCCAAAUGGAACAGAUACUAAUGGAAAAGUAGUACAAUAUACACCCAAUAUAGACAUAACAAGAAAGUUGGUCGAAUCAAUACCAAGACAUUUAAAAGAAGUAGUCCGAAGUAAAGGAAGAGCUACGCGGUAUUAAAAAGUAAUUUUUUGUUUUCAAACUUGGAUUUUACAUGAAUUGUCGAAUAUUAUUUUUUUUUUGCUUUUAUUUUUGGAGUAAUUCAGUUUUUGUGCUUUUUUGCUUAGUUUUGUAAUUUUUAUUAUAAUAAAACUCAUCAAUUUACAAGCUAAAUAAAUUAUUGCUUUAAAAAACACUGUUAUUUGGUCUUUUAUUUGUUUAUAUUAUGGAAUAUUAGUUAAUUCCAUUUUUUGGCCGAGAUUAAUUUUUUAAUUCCCUGUAAAUAAAACAAUUCAUGAUUAAAUGACAAAACGUUCUGAGUGAUGUCAUGCUAAAAAAUGUCAAACUUUCCAAUGGAAAUGUCAGAUUGCACCUGGCAACACUUAGUGUUGCCUAAUCCAGAAAUAUAUAUAGCAGCCUAUGUACAUCGAUGUUAUAAGAUAACGAUGCCUCCAGUAAUCGUUUUAUUUAUUAAGAACAUGCAUAUAUUAAUAAUGGUUUUGAUAUUUUUUUUUAAUUAAGGUAAAAUUAAUCACAUUUUUUUAAAUAUAAUAUAUACUUAUUCUUAUAAUAUUUUCUCGAUUUUCCUAACUUUUAUGACGUUAAUGUACGGAGCCGAUGGCCGCUACAUCACUGGAGAUCGCCAGCGAUAGACCAAUAACCCACUCUUGCUAAAAGCAACGGAUUAACGCAACCAAGAAGCAUGUACAUAAUUACAAACUGAGAACUGAGAACUGAAACAUCCUGAAAAUAACAAAAGACUUUAACUUCGCUUGCACCGAAGCUAUAAUACCCUUCACAAACAAAGUUUUAUUUACAAGAGAUUGAUUUUGACCGACUUGAUUUCGAAGAAACGGGCCUGUGCAUAAUUUGAGAUUGAUAUCUCAAGAACAGAGACAUGGCCAAAUUGAAUAAGGGUCUCCGAAGUUUCCUUCUGGCUGCUACCAACUUAUCGGCAAACUUAAUAUACCCUUUAAAGGAAUGCAUAUAUGUAAGCAUUGCUAACGUUGUGACUAGCGUCCGACCGAUUAAUCAGCAAUUUUUCGCCGAUUCUUUAUAUUUUUUCGGAUUCCAUUCCAUAUUUUUGUUUUUUUUUUUGCUGUUUUUAAUACCUCAGGAAAAAUGUGAAUAAGUUUAUUUCUACAUUGCAAAAUUUAUCUUCGCACCUUCAUAUUGAUUGACAUAUUAACAGAAAGUUUUGUUUGCGUUUCAUUAACACAUAAUAUUUAAUAUUAUUUUAUAUGUGUUUCUAGUCUGCAGAACGACUACUACGAGGAGGACUAAGAAAUGUAAUUUUGACUGAAAUAUUUAUUUAAUAAAGUGAAUAUUGAAUGUUUCUCUACUUUUCAUGUUAUUUGUUUGUGUUUUUCUUUUGUUAGACUAGUAACUAAAUAGAUUUGUCCAUUAACAUAAUAAUAUUCAUGUAGUUUUUUAAUAAAAUGGCAUCGACAUCGGCCAAAAAUUGGGCAUCGGUGGGACACUACUUGCGACCCUCUUAAUAGUGUUACAAAAGUAGUAUUUAUUUGUAUUUGUAUUGCUAUAUGCAUCCCUUAUUAUGAACAAUAGCUGUAGGUAUAUGGAAUAGCAUUUGUCUUGUUGUAGACAUCUGGCGCCGCGGCUGUCUGCUUGUCGAAACAAUAGACAUCUGGCGCCGCACUACUUAAACAAUUGCUGAGUCUGGCGCCGCGGCUGUCUGCUUGCGUCUGGCGCCGUAUAGCAUUAUGUUCUGGUAAUUUCCAGACGCAAUAUUCUAGAAGGACACGUCGGCAUCAGCGAGAAGUGCGUGGCUAUAUAAGCCGUGGCAGCGCCAACGUAAUCAACCAGUGCUAAGAGUAAACUGCUAUAGUGUAGACGAGUUGUAAAAUAAAGAGAUUUAGUUGAAGUGAAUUAAACGGCUUUUGGUUUCAUUUGUCAAUCCAGAGAUACGAACCCAGUAAAGUAAAACUAGCAAGGAGUAAAUUCGCAACAGUAUUAUUUAAACAUAAAUGUAUUUUUAUUCGUAAAUGUAUUAAAUACAUACAUAUUUACAAAUAACUAUUUAAACAAACAUAUGGCUUUUUAUUCAUGCUUGUACUUAGGAGGAAAUGUAAAAACUCCGUAAGUUAAAUAUUUAUUGUACAGGUCCCUUUCCAGUUCUCAAGUAAAUACUCAACAAAUAAAUUCCUUAUUUCUUGUAGUCUUCUGUAGUCAAGUAAUUUUGAUAGCAGGUUAUGCAUUGUGAUUGAUGCACAUUAGAAGAGCAAGAGAAAUUAAACAAAGAAAAUAUACUUUUGUGUGUAAGUACAUAUAUAUAUAAAUAUUUUCAUUGCGAUUUAAAUAAUCUGGUUGAUACUUCAUAACAAUGAUUUCAACUAAUUUAGCAUGAAUUUAACGAUUACUUUAAAUUUCCUUCAAGAAACAGUUGUUGAUUUCAAUGCAAAACUAGCAUUGCCAUAUUCACAUUUUAUUGAUUUUAGAUUUCUUUAGAGCUGCAUACAUUUCUUAAGCGUUUUUUAAAUGAAGUUUUUACAUUUCUUAAGAGCUGGAACUACCCUUAAUAGACAAAUAUUUGUAACAGAUAACUCUUUUGGAAGAAUAGUUCCUCCUUUCAGUCAAUAAAAUAAUUGCAAAUUUCUUUAAAAAUUUUGAAAUUAACAAACCGAUUUUGCAUUGUGAGGCUUGCUUUCACAUCAAAUCAGCAUAGGGAAAACCUCACAAUAGCGGGGGUGGUGAUUUUUGUGAGGGCGCGAGAAUAAGGCUUUUUUAUUAAUUCUUUUAGAUUUCAGAACCAUACCCAAAAAUGUGCAAAAUUAUGCCGAGUUGACAGUCCUUAGCCAGAUAAAAAUCCGGUUCUGGUUACGUAGACCCGACUGCCGUGGGAACAACAGCUUUAUGCUAUCGAUAGUGUUAGUCGGAAUUUCAAAAUAUGUCGGCGAGGGACCUAUAAAGGACUUAGUUUACAAACUAAAAAAGAGAACAAGUUCAGC